rnacentral:sRNA from 1 species
ACUCGGUGUGGUGGCACAUGCCUGUAAUCCCAGCUACUUGGAAGCCAGAGACAGGAGGAUCACUAGUUCAAGGCCAGCUUGGGCAACUUAGAGAAACCCUAUCUCAA